UUUCUCAUUAAUUAAAUCAUUUAUUUGUGUGGAAUGGGAAGAAAUCCAUGUGUUGGCAAGUGAAAUUGAAUUAGCACAAAUACACACUAUACAUAUAUAUACACAUAUAAAGAAAUAUAUGUAUAUAUAUUUAUUUUUUUUCUUUCAGACAAAAAGAAAUACAGUAAGAAGGAAACAGUAACGCAUUAAUUGCAGACAUGAGCAUCUUUAGUGCUAGCCAGAUAGAACUGCUUUCUUAUGAAUAUAUUUACAGAAUAUAUUAAAGUCCCUCCAUUUGGAAUCUACACUUAUAUACACAGUCCCUGCUGUAGUAUCACAGUACAUUGAAAUAUAAUAAUACACAUAAUGGUGAAUACUAUAUAUAUAUCAUAUCAUUUAAUGGGUUCAUGUGAAACAUUCAAGAAGUUUAUUCAGUUUGAUAACUGACUUUAUGUUAAAUUAGCCAAGAAAUAAAAAAAAUUAAAAAAAACACAACUUUGGCUAAACUUGAAGAUUUGUUUUCCAACUUGGCUAGUUUGGGCAAAACUUCACAAUUCAGUUGUUAACGUACGGCCAAGAGAAUAAUGCCAUAAACAUGCAUCAUAUUAUGCACCAAGUAAAAAGGAAUUGAAUUUUGUAUAAUUCCAUCCACACCAUUCAGAUUGCAUUAAAUUGCACAAAAUUUUCUGUCUUUAACAAAAUCAAAUAAAAGUCGCUGCCUAAGACAGACAGGAUUUGGUUUAGUUAAACAAAUUCAGAAUUUUUGUAAAUUAAAAAAAAUUAAAAAAAAUAACAUUUUAAAUAACCAAAAAAAUAUUUACUAGUCAGUAUGCCAUUUCAAAGCUAGGGGGUCUUUACCGGCUAAUUUUUGCAUCACAUUUAAUCAUUAUGUUACGGCCAAGACUUCCAAUUACAUGAAUAUUUACUUAUAAAUAAAGUGAUUAACAAAUUAAAUUCUAAUCUUACAGUACGGAAUUGUUUUUCAAAUAUAUGUUCAGGAAAGGUCUGGUUGGUCUAUACAACAAAUGUUUCAUGUUUGCAAAUGCUGAAUCAUUUUAAUUACAAAAUAUUCGCCAAUUUUACAAGUACAAACGUGUAAUGUCAGAAAAAAAAAAAAAAAAAAAUUUGGAUAUUUGUUUUCCAACUCUGCUAGUUUUGGCUAAAGUUAAAAAAAUAUUGCAAUAUUAAACCAUUGUUGAUAUUGUUUGGGGUGAUGCGUGUUGGAAGUAAAAAUAAAUAAAUAAUGGUGGUUUUAGUUUGCCAAACCUCUGUAUGCAUUAAAAAAAAAAAAAAAAUUAUAUUAUUCUGCCUAUAAGGUUACAUCAAUAUAAAUCCCUAAAUAAAUACCAUUAGGCAAUAGUUUUUACAUAGGAAAAAAAUACAUAUAUUUAUAUUAUAUAUGCGUACUUAUCAUAUAUUAUACUUUUCUUCAAUAUAGUGUUUAUAAAACUAAAAUAUAUGACCAUGAGGCACAUAUGGCUAGAGACAUAAAUUUUGUGCACAAGAAGUAAACAGUUAAUGAUGUUUAGUAUUGUUGAGUUUCACUUUUGUAUUAUUUGCCCGUUUUGGCCAAAGGUUUAGGAGGCUGGAUAUUACCCUAAAAGAGAGUAGAAAUAAAAAUAAAAUGCAGAAUGCAGUGUAGCAGUGAAUUAAUGCAGCCCUAAAUUAUGCAUUUUCAAGAACCGUUGCAGCCUUAAAAGGGGUACGGAGUCGUGCUAGUUUAUGCAAACAUUCCAAUGAAACUUUCUUACAAACCAGUUCAAUGCAUGAUUAUUUACCAGGUAACACGUUAUGUUCCUUUAAUGAUUUGUUUUACAAAAACCAUGCUAGGCUGUAAAUUGUCAUUGAAUAAUUACAAAGAAAGUCUACUAUAAAAUAUAUUUGAAUAUAUAGAUUUAUAUGCUGUUUACCUUUUUCUUCUAUAUUUUGUUAAAAAAAAAAAUAAAUAUUGCAGAUCAAUAUCCCAGAAGACUAGCAAUAAUAAAACUGCUCAAAGUGCUUCAUGCCACAUUCAGAACACACAGUAGGAACUCAAUAAACACACAAACAUCCGUCAAAAAAUAAAUAAACCCUGAAAAAAUUCCAAGGGUUACUUCAGGCUCUAUGACCACUACUGCUUUUAGAAGUGGUUAUGGUGCAAUAAAUCUGUAUGUACAGCAUUUCAGCUUGAAACGCUGUACAUACAGAGAUAUCUACAUUUUUGUGCCAGGGGAUGUUACAUCUCUGUAAUUUGCAAAAAAACAAAACAAAAAACAAAACACAAAAAAAACACCCCUUGCACUCUGAGCCUGGGAGAAAGGUCCAAUCAAAGGCUUCUUUAAGAGAAACAUUUGAUUGGACCUUGGAGUGACAACUAGCAAAGAGCUCUUAAACUAGAGCUGGAUUCAAGCUUUAACUUAAAAAGAGAUUUUUUUUUUUUUUUUAAACUUGGGGUGGACAAUGUUAGUGUUAUUAAGAAAUAAAUAAUUUUUUUUUAAUUUUUUUUGCAAAAAAGGGUUAUAAAGCUGCACAAGUUGCAACAUACACAUAAGCAAUUGGUGAAAGAAAUCAAGUUAGCAAUUAGGAAGAGUUUCUUUUUAAUUAAACCUCGACACAAAUGAUGCUAACCAGUGGGUUAAGUCCUUAACGGACUUCGACCAUAAAAACAUGAUGGGUCAGCUUGGCACUUGCCACUCUCCUGGGUGCUGCCUAUAAGUCAUGUGGCCUGAUUUCUCGUGAUGUGUCCUAAAAAUGCAGCUUUGUUUUCCUACAGCUCCACCAUGAUUUCCUAAACAAAGGUUUAUUCAGCAUUGUGUGAAAUAUACUGCAGACUUGUAAAUCACAUUGAUUGAUGCAGCAUAUGAAUGCUACGUUGCUUUGUCCAACAGUUUGCAAGCAUUCUAAAAAGUGAACCUUGUUUAAACACCAACAUGAUAAGUUUUAAACGUUUAUCACUUGAAAAUACAAGCAAAAUUUGAUCUCUUAAAAGGGUUAAUCCAACAACCAUGACUACUUUGGUGAUUUGAAGUAAUCAUGGUGGUAGAAGUCUAGAUGUGCAGGGUUCCUGUUUGAAACGCUGCACAUUCAGAGAUAUUUGUAGUUGUGUGCCAGGGCUAGUUACAGCCUCAACAUACAUGACUUUGGCUAAUGUCAAUUCUGUGCAUAUUCGGUCGGUGGUCAGCGCAUUUCCCUCCAUUGGAUGUAUUAUUUUUUAAGAUAUGAAUUCCACUCUCCAUCUUAAAAUCCCUCCCUUUACUGGCUCAGAGUGUGUGCAUGCGCUCUGAGCUGGUGAAAUAGUCCAAAUCACAGUUUUCUCUAUGAGAAGCCUGUGAUUGGACUGCACAAAACUACCACUGACAUUGAACGGAGGAAGAAGAUCAGUGCAAGGACCUUCGCUCGCCUCUGUAUCACAGGUCAAUUUAAACUUUAGAUUUUUAAGUUGCAACUGGGGACCUAUAAGCAAUGCCCAAUGGGCAAGUAACAGUAAGGUGGGAGUAAGAAUUUUACUGCAAGCCUCAGAGUUAUCUUGUUUUAUUUACUUACAAAAAGGUCAGAGAAUACGAUUCUCUGUAUAACUUGUAUCUUCUAUAUUCUAACUCAUAUUGUCAAGAAUAAAAGAUCAGCUGUACAAAUGUUUUUGCCUCAUGUGUUAAUCACAGUAUAAAAAGUAAAAUGCACUUUGGCCAGUAAUAGAGCAUCUAAAGCAAGACUUAAUUCUUAGUCAUUAAAGUGGGUCUCUGUCACCAAAAAAUAAACUUUAUCGGUUUCUAUACAACUCCCAGAGUCUGAACCUGUUUUUAUUUAUUUCCUGAGUGCUCUAGUUUUCAAAAAAUACAUGAAUAAAAGGACUAGGUUUCCACAUGUACAGUUGUCAAUUAAAAAGGUACCCCAUAAUCGAUCAGUACAAUUAAUCCCACAGAAGGGAAACUGCACUAAUAAUGGACGAAGGAGAGCAAAAUGGCUGCACCCAGGUAUUGAGAUCCAGCACAAGAAAGAAAAGAUAGUAAACAAAGGCAAGUGGCAUGGAGGGGAGUAUAAUCCUCAACAUACAAGGCGGCACAAGGAAAGGAAAAAUCAAAAAAAAUAUUUGAAGAGUGCUGCCCUGUUAAAAAAAAAAAAAAUAAAUAAAAAAUUCUAGAUGUAAAAGUAUCCGCAAGAUAUAUGAAAAUAUUACUUAAAACAUUAAUAUUUUAAACAUUAGUAUCUCUAAAAAGUGGAAUCCCAGCUUAUUUACAGUAAGGCAUUCUGUCAGGAGGUAGAUGACUGUAGUUAAAAGCAGUCAUGGCCUGCUUUCUUUAUUCUGUUGUAUAUUGAAGGAGUUGAUCGACCUAUGAGUGGUUCAUGAUCAUGCUACUUUCUUAUCUUGAAUAUCACAGAUGGACCAAUCUGUACCUUGACUAUUAUCUCCCUUGUGUCAUUAUGGAUGGACUUUUACCAAUAUUUCUAACAAGCUAUUUAAGUUUUACUCAAUAUAAUAGUCUAUAAAAAGAAAAUAUCUUAUGUAAAAU